rnacentral:misc_RNA from 1 species
GAUGAAGAACGCAGCGAACUGCGAUAAGUAAUGUGAAUUGCAGAAUUCAGUGAAUCAUCGAGUCUUUGAACGCACAUUGCGCCCCCUGGCAUUCCGGGGGGCAUGCCUGUCCGAGCGUCAUUGCUGCCCUUCAAGCCCGGCUUGUGUGUUGGGUCGUCGUCCCCCCCGGGGGACGGGCCCGAAAGGCAGCGGCGGCACCGCGUCCGGUCCUAGAGCGUAUGGGGCUUUGUCACCCGCUCGAUUAGGGCCGGCCGGGCGCCAGCCGGCGUCUCCAACCUUCUAUUUUACCAGGUUGACCUCGGAUCAGGUAGGGAUACCCGCUGAACUUAAGCAUAUCAAUAAGCGGAGGA